AAUUGUUUUGAAGGGCUUUGAAAAGAUAGGUCAUGUUCAAAUUAAUGCCAAGUGAUCUUAGUUUAUUUACUUUGCUUUUAGGGUGGGGGACCUUACUGUCUCAUUGGUCGUGCCCUUGGUCCAGAAGUUGGAGUUAGCAUUGGACUAUGUUUUUUCCUUGGCAAUGCAGUUGCUGGAGCUCUAAGUUUCCGUGUAAAUUCUUGGAGAUGUCAUCUACACGGAAGUGCAGCAUUUACAAAUUUGUGGACUAUGAACCAGAAAAGAAAAUGAUUUGCUGUCUAUUAUAGCUUUUGCGUACCAUGACCAGGAACAAUCAAGAUCUGCAGAAGCAGAUUGGGUGGCUGGACAGAUGCUGUCAUGUCUUUGACAGCAGCCAUUUUCAUGCUGGGCGACGCAUCAACAGCCACGAUAAGCUGAGACUUCAUCAAGAUGGGAACACUCUGGCUAAACUUCUGUACUAGUGAUGUUCAUUGGCGUGCACUGAAGACACCAACAAGCACAACUUGGUAGCUCUUUGAUUUUGGAUGUAGUAGAGGCUUGAACAUGUAUCAAAUAUUAGUGAUUAUUCUCUCUUCACAUAAUCAGUAGCUCAGCUUGUACUUGAUAUGACAGUAUAAUGCACCACCCAGUGUAAAAAUAUAUAUGACUUUGGUCUCAUUGACGACUUUACUUGAAUAUUGAUAUAUUCCAAAUUUGUUGAUGUAUGGAUAAUUAAUUA